rnacentral:rRNA from 1 species
GAACGCGAAAGUUCCUUCGGGGAUGAUUAGAGUGGCGUCCGGGUGAGUAACACGUGGGUAAUCUACCUUCGGGUGGGGAAUAACUCGCCGAAAGGCGAGCUAAUACCGCAUAAUGCAGCGGCACCUUAUGGUGAAUAGUUGUUAAAGCGGGGGAUCGCAAGACCUCGUGCCUGAAGAGGAGCCUGCGGCAGAUUAGCUAGUUGGUGGGGUAAUGGCUCACCAAGGCUGCGAUCUGUAGCUGGUCUGAGAGGACGGCCAGCCACACUGGCACUGACACACGGGCCAGACUCCUACGGGAGGCAGCAGUGGGGAAUUUUGGGCAAUGGGCGAAAGCCUGACCCAGCAACGCCGCGUGAGGGAGGAAAUCCUUCGGGAUGUAAACCUCGCAGGCAGGGGAAGAGCGCUUCUUUUCUAAUANAGGGGAAGCUCGACGGUACCCUGCGUAAGCCACGGCUAACUACGUG